UCCCGACAGAAUCCCGAGCCUCAGCUCCCAGCCCCACCCACCCCGGCGGGUGAGCAAACAAGCCUCUCGGGCUGGUGAGUGCCGGCACCAAUCGUCUGUGUGGGAAUCUCUCCACUUUGCCCUCCCCACCCCUGUUGCUGUGCUCUCCUCUGCGGCUCCGAAGUUUCCCCCCUCCGCCACUCGCAGUCUCCGCCCGGGAAGGGGCUUCCUAGUGUGUGGAAACCUUUCCUACGUCACAGCUCCCUCCCACUGGUGCAGGUCCCGUCCCUAUUCUUUUGUCUCUGUUUUUUCUUUUGCCCUACCCAGGUACGUGGGGAAUUUCUUGCCUUUUGGGAGGUCUGAGGUCUUCUGCCAGCGUUCAGUAGGUUUUCUGUAGGUGUUGUUCCACAGGUACAUGUAUUUCUGGUGUAUCUGUGGGGGGGAAGGUGAUCUCCGCAUCUUACUCUUCCGCCAUCUUCCCCUCGUCUGUAUCAUUUGCUUUUGAAAUGUUUGGAAGAAUUCACCAGUGAAGCUAUAUGGUCCUGGAGAUUUCUUUUUGGAUAGGUUCUUAUUUAAAGAUUCAAUUUCUUUAAUACGUAUGAGACUAUUCAGAUUUUCUGUUUCCUCUUGGAUCCAUGUAGAUAGUUUUGUUUUUCAAGGAAUUUUUCCCAUUUUAUAUAAACUGCCAAAUUUAUUGGCAACCUGAUUUCCAGUUUUACCAACCAUUCUUUUGCAUCAUCAAUGCAAAUAUCCAAACAGUGGAAAAGACACCUGAGCAAGAAUCAAAGCUGUGUCAUCACACUGUAUUAGCAUUCAUUAAUUCUUCAACUGCACAUAUUCAUAGUAAAAGGAAGAAAAAGAAAACAAAAAUACUUCACUGAAGAAUAUCCUACAUGAAGCAGUUAAAAUUAAUUUUAUCAGAGCUGAACCAUUGAGCAUAUGUAUGUUUAAUAUUCUGCGUGAUGAGGUUAUCAGAAAGUUUAUGAACUGCAUAUCUAUAAAUAAUUUUGAGCCCCUGGAAGACAAAUGUACCCUUGAUAAGAAGUUCCUGUGAAAAGAAUCUAAGCAUAAUAAUUGAGCUUCUGGUCAAAGCAUUGAAAGGGAAUCAAGAGAUCUGGGUGCUGGUGCCUGUUCAUCACUAGCUCUGGGAAUUUGGUUCUGCAGGAACAUCAGACCAGGUUAAUGUCAAUCAGAGUCAACUGACCAAGAAAAAAGAAGUUUCGUAACCUCCCUCAGACCACCACCAGUGCCCAGCUGCUUGAGGCUAUUGCUCACCACCUGACCUUACCUCCUCCUGCUUCUCCCUUCACUAGCAUAAAAGAAGCAUGAAUUAUACCCCAAAUUAAUAUGGUUCUUUAGGCCAUUAGUCCGCCACCUUCUUGGUCUGCUGGCUUUCCAAAUAAAGUCAAGAUUCCUUG